rnacentral:rRNA from 1 species
AUUGAACGCUGGCGGAAUGCUUUACACAUGCAAGUCGAACGGCAGCACGGGGCAACCUGGUGGCGAGUGGCGAACGGGUGAGUAAUACAUCGGAACGUGCCCAAUCGUGGGGGAUAACGCAGCGAAAGCUGUGCUAAUACCGCAUACGAUCUACGGAUGAAAGCGGGGGAUCGCAAGACCUCGCGCGGACGGAGCGGCCGAUGGCAGAUUAGGUAGUUGGUGGGAUAAAAGCUUACCAAGCCGACGAUCUGUAGCUGGUCUGAGAGGACGACCAGCCACACUGGGACUGAGACACGGCCCAGACUCCUACGGGAGGCAGCAGUGGGGAAUUUUGGACAAUGGGCGCAAGCCUGAUCCAGCAAUGCCGCGUGCAGGAUGAAGGCCUUCGGUUGUAAACUGCUUUUGUACGGAACGAAACGGUGAGCUCUAAUAAGACUUGCUAAUGACGGUACCGUAAGAAUAAGCACCGGCUAACUACGUGCCAGACACG